rnacentral:tRNA from 1 species
GGAUGCAUAGUUUAUGUAUAUGAGAAUCGUACUUUUGUAAUGUAUGGGAGCUUUUAGCUGUGUCCU